rnacentral:rRNA from 1 species
AUUGAACGCUGGCGGCAUGCCUUACACAGGCAAGUCGAACGGCAGCAGGAUCUCGCUUGCUAGAGGGAGGGCGAGGGGCGAACGGGUGAGGAAUACAGCGGAACGAGCCCUGUAGGGGGGGAUAACGAGUCGAAAGAUUAGCUAAUACCGCAUACGACCUGAGGGUGAAAGUGGGGGACCGCAAGGCCUCAUGCUAUAGGAGCGGCCGAUGUCUGAUUAGCUAGUUGGUGAGGUACAGGCUCACCAAGGCGACGAUCAGUAGCUGGUCUGAGAGGACGGUCAGCCACACUGGGACUGAGACACGGCCCAGACUCCUACGGGAGGCAGCAGUGGGGAAUUUUGGACAAUGGGCGAAAGCCUGAUCCAGCAAUGCCGCGUGUGUGAAGAAGGCCUUCGGGUUGUAAAGCACUUUUGUCCGGAAAGAAAUGGCUCUGGUUAAUACCUGGGGUCGAUGACGGUACCGGAAGAAUAAGGACCGGCUAACUACGUG